GACGAACGCUGGCGGCGUGCUUAACACAUGCAAGUCGAACGAAGUGGCGAACGGGUGAGUAACGCGUACUCAACCUGCCCUUCAGAGGGGGACAACAGUUGGAAACGACUGCUAAUACCGCCUACUGACGGAGGGGAUUGCGUCUGAUUAGCUCGGUGGAGGGGUAACGGCCCACAAAGGCGAUGAUCCGUAGCCGGUCUGAGAGGAUGAACGGACACAUUGGGACUGAGACACGGCCCAGACGCCUACGGGAGGCAGCAGUGGGGAAGCUUACGAAAGGGACGAAAGUCUGACGGAGCAACGCCGCGUGAGUGAGGACGGCCUUCGGGUUGUAAAGCUCUGUUAAUCGGGACGCGGUACCGGAAUAGAAAGCCACGGCUAACUACGUGCCAGCAGCCGCGGUAAUUC
rnacentral:rRNA from 1 species